rnacentral:tRNA from 1 species
GUGGAUGUGGUUCAAUGGUAGAGGGCUUGCCUAGCAUGUGAGAGACCCUGGGUUCAAUACCCAGUACCACA